GUCCUUCUAUUGUCGGCUUC
rnacentral:snRNA from 1 species